AGCUCCAAUAGCGUAUAUUAAAGUUGUUGUGGUUAAAAAGCUCGUAGUUGGAUCUCGGCAAACUGAGGGCGGUUUACUUGCUAGUACUACUGCCCUAUAGUUUGUAUUAUUGCUGGAGGUUUAGAGGUGAUCUUAAUCGAUUGUCUCUGGAUGCCAGCAGGUUUACUUUGAAAAAAUUAGAGUGCUCAAAGCAGGCUUAUACGCCUGAAUAUUCGUGCAUGGAAUAAUAGAAUAGGAACUUGUUCUUAUUUUGUUGGUUUUCGAGAAUCAAGUUAAUGAUUAAUAGGGACAGUUGGGGGCAUUUGUAUUCAAGCGAAAGAGGUGAAAUUCUUGGACCGUUUGAAGACAAACUACUGCGAAAGCAUUUGCCAAGAAUGUUU
rnacentral:rRNA from 1 species